GCACCAGUGGCCUAGUAGUAUUAGAAUACUACCCUGCCACGGUAGAGACCCGGGUUCGAUUCCAGGCUGGUGCA
rnacentral:tRNA from 1 species